CUGUGUCGAGCCCCACGCCCUCGUCCUCCCCUUCUCCUUCGCAGGCACGUCUCCUCCCCUCGGUGGUCUGAUCCCCUUCCUUCUUGUGCAUGCCGCCUACUCCCCUCCUCCGGCUGGAGCAAGAUGUCGCCGUACCUCCAUCCUCGCGACGCCACCUCCUUCCUCCACCGCCGACAGAGGCGACCGGCUAGGGUUCAGUCGCCGCCGCCAAAACGGAUGGCGUGCUCCUCGGCGAGUGGCCCGGCAAGUUCUCUCUCUCCAGCUAUCAGGACAGCUCGAGACCCAGAUCAUCAACACCGAUAAGCUCCUCCUCUCGGUUUGAUUAGCCUCCCCAUCUGUCCACACCGCCAGUCCCUGGUUUCUACAGGUUUGUGAGACUUCAAGGUUUACAAGUGUGGCUUUAGUUGAGUGAGUGGAGACAGGUCAGGAAUCACCUCCCCAUUCAGCUAGGCCACACCAUCUUGAGAUUCAGCCUGAACCAUGUUCCUUGAAAAGACAAGAGUAAACGGGAAAACUUACUUUGCGUUCAUAUGAUGCAGACCAAGAACGAACGAUAGUUUAUGAAAGAUUUGAGUGCAGGUAUACUCAAAUCAAUGUCUUUUAUCUAAUUGGCUAGAUAACUACUUUUUAGGUCUCUGCUGAUUACCACAAUAACACAAUUUUCUUAUUCAUGCUUUGCUGUUAAUAUUUUUUUCACUGCCUGAAAAAUUAACUUUUGUUAGUUGCAUGUCAAGUAACAAAGCUAACAGUACCUAUUUGUUGCUUCAUCGGCAUGGAUUAGUUUUACAUUAUUUACUAAGUUGAAAGCAGUUAAUAUCUCCUUGAGGCCACUCCAAGAUGAUCCUUAUUUCCUUUGCAAGCAGCUAAUUGUUGUAACAUGAUUACAUUUGCUGAGUGGCGUAGCUGUACUUUUGGAUGGAGUCUUCAUAGCUUAGUGGCAGUGUUUCGGCAUGUCUUUUUCUUGUAUCCUGUUGGUGCCUUUGGAAACUAAUAAUUACUUUUUUAUGAAUUUAACGACAUGUCUACUUUUGUUGAUCUGAUAUAUUCAGAUUUGGCUAGCAGCAAAAGAUGAAUGAAUAUAGUGAUGGAAAGCCAAAUUUAAAGUGAUAAUAAUUGAUAAGUGUUCCUUUUAGUGUUUUGAACUAAUUAUGGUUCCAGAAGUAGGUUGUAUGUAUGUUGCAAAUGAACUGGUAUAGAGCUUCAUCUAAUUUACUGGUGUGAAUUGUUCUCAUCAUGUACCUGCCCUUUUAGUUAGCGGGAAACGUUGUGAUGCUCAGAUCUUAUGUGCCUAUUUUGAGAGCAGAAAAAUAUGGAAACUCAGCAUCUGAAGCUAAAUAAAAUGCACGCACUAUCCUCUUCUUCUGUGUAAUGGUGAGCUACAGUUUGAUCUUGUCUCCACUGCUCUCAGUUGGGUUCUACCACACAUUACUAAAACUUUUUUUUGAACCGUAAAUGACCGUAGGAGAGUUUUCCUACAAUCUUUGUAUUAAAAGAGUUAUUAAAGUCUUGUCAAGCAAGUUACAUUGGGGGAGGGGGCUGAGUACUUACAUCGCGUGGAGGGGGUGCGGCAGGGUUAAAUGAGUGUGAUCCUAGAUAGAGGGCCACACAUUACUAAAACUUACACAUCAUUUUCAUUUAGAUUUGGUUAUUAUUAGCAUUAGAUUGUGCACAUUGAAUGUGAGAACAGGGCAGGUACUACCACGGCGUUCAUUCUACUGUGUCCAGUCCUCAGUCCUCAAUGCUUAAUGUCCAUCUCUUUGUAGCUUUGUAAAGUUUAGGUGUAUCAUCAUCGUUUUACAGAUGGUCAAUGCAUAUGGGGAACAAAGUGAGGCUCUAUAGGAAGUAGCUCACAAAUUUGAGGCGUCUCUACAAGGAAGCCACACAUCCGUUAUUACAUUUGCCACAUGAGCAACACCUUUGCCACUCAAAGAAUCCUAUACACAUCACCUGCAAUUAUAUAUACAUUUCUUCUUAGUGUUGUUACCUUUGAUUUUGCAGUAUUUGUCCUGAUUGAUACUGUAUAAUUAUGUGUUGUCUUGCAGGUACUGAUCGUGGUGUCGAUUCCUACCUGAUCCAUCAGACACAACUUCGGUUGGUCACAGGUUUCUUGGCUCUUUAGGCUGAGGUUUUCUAUCUUGGGCAACUGAGGCAGAAGAACCUGGUAAAUUGGUUGAGUAGUGCUAUGAGGAUGAACACAGGAUGCUGGUGUACAAGUGCAUGAGCAUUGGUAGCCUUGAGACACACCUCUUCAAAAGUAUAAAUUGCUCCCUUCCGUGGAUGACAAGGAUAAAAAAUGACCAAGGAUGAAGAUUGCUAUUGGCGCGGCUAAGGGACUUUCUUGAUGCUAUCUCGCCAGUGAUCUACAAGGCCUACAACAUCUUGCUCGACUCACGCGGGCUAUAACGUGAGUCUGAGCCUCCACGAGCUCAAUGCCGUCGGGUACCAGCACUCUACACGCUUGCCGAUGCAGUGGUCGUUCAGGUUGACUCGACGACUAGGUAGCAGCAGGAGCAGAUGUGAAAAAGGCGGUGGUCAUCGAGGUCGACUUGACCGGCUAAGUGUGCAUUUGCUUUUGAAGCACUUCUCUUAUUCGUAAUCAGUCAUUUAGGCUACAAAACUGCUACUUCUCUGUUCAUAUAAGCUUAUCCAUAUGUAUGAUGCUCUCACCUAAUGUAUUUUUAUGAAUGUGCACAGCCAGUAUUGCAUUUCUACUGCUGUAUUUUAUUUUCCCAAUCAAUAAGAUGGUACUGUCACUGCUA